CAAACAUGUUCCAAGGACUGGGUCACAAAUAAAGACCAGUGUUAUUACGUAUCCACGUUUGAUACCACUUUCCAAAAAACGGAGCAAGAAUGUUCAAACCGUGACUCAAGGCUGCUGGAAAUCAAUUCAAGUGAUGAAGCGCGCUUUGUAUCCCACAAUCUUCUGGACAACAAACCUGCUUUCUGGAUUGAAAAAUGCGAAAACGGGACUGUGGGCCAGAGUCUCCUGUACAAGCCCUCUGGAACGACCGUCUGCAGACGGUGCGGAAGUGGUGACACUUGUGAUGUUCCCGAUCGGCGGUUCAUCUGCGAGAAGUCGGCACCUUUGUUCCCGGAUGUUCCUGAAAAGGUCCAGGGUCUCUGCCAACAGCCAGUGGAGUCGACAUGAAUCAAGUGAAUGCCCUCAUUUUCUCCACCUUCUCUCUCACUCCUAAAUCCUUUCAAAUUCCCUCCCCACACUCUCUGUCCCUCCCUCCUACUCCAUCUCCUCUUGUUGCAAUCAUAUUCUAACCACCAGACCCCGACAAAUCCCUCUCGCCGUCUAUCCCCUUCUCUCUCGCCAUUCCCCCGUCCCGCUCUUCCGCGCUCCCUCUACCUUUCUCUCUACCCCCUCGCCUCCCCUUAUUUCCUCAAACUUUCUCCGCCCACUCUUUCUCUUCUCCCUCUGCACACCUCUUACAUCUCUCUCUCCUUCGCUCCCCCAGACACUCUCUGUCUACCCUCCCCGUUCUCUCUGAACCCUCCGUCUCCCUGAUAUCUCUCUCCCUCUCUCUUUCUGCUUUCAAUUCACUCUAACCUCAAUCCUGUCCCGUCUGGUGCUCGAUAACCCAACCCUGGGUGAAAGUCUGUCCGCAUUCCCUCUGUCUGUGCCCCUCUUGUAUCACGGCAACGUGACCUCCCGACUCCUGUACUCAGUGUGACUGGUGAAGACCAGCGGGCCAAGUGUCCUGUCCACUCUUAUCGGAUGUUUUCCUCAAGAAUCGCUAUUUCAUUUAUUAUCUGAAACUUAUAACGCCUGGAAUUUGUUCUUUUGAAGGAUCAGUACUGCACAAAGAUGUACAAUUAAUGUAAACUGCAAAUAUUAAUAAACACCGCAAAUAUGUC